rnacentral:lncRNA from 1 species
UCUUCCAUUUCUGCAUCUUUGGACUCUUUCCCUGCCUUUUGUUUCAUUUUUACAUCUUUGGACUCCUUUCCAGCCUUCUCUUUCAUCUCCACAUCUUUCGAGUCCUUCCCUGCCCUCUCUUUCACUUCCACAUCUUUGGGCUCUUUCGUUGACUUGUCUUUCAUUUUUACAUCUUUUGAGUCCUUCCCUGCCUCCUCUUUCCCUUCCACAUCUUUGGACUCUUUCACUGCCUUCUCUUUUAUUUUUACAGUUUUGGAGUCCUUACCUUCCUUCUCUUUCAUUUCCACAUCUUUGGAAUCCUUUCCCACUUUCUCUUUCAUUUCCGCGUCUUUGGAAUCCUUCCCUGCCUUCUCUUUCAUUUCCACAUCUUUGGACCCCUUCCGUGCCUUCUCUUUUAUUUUCACAUCUUUGGAGUCUUUCCCAGCCUUCUCUUUCUCAGCUGAGCUGAUUACUACUUCUUCAUCCAUUUGGCCAUCUGUUGUAUAAAUGAACACAUUAGGCUCAUCUAUGAAAGAAAAGGCAUGCAUUCAAGAAACAACGGGUCCAUAUAAUCAAAGCUAACUCAUUAAGCAAUCGUACCAGAUUCUACAUCUUUAUCCACAUCUGAGUGGGCAAGGGAAUUGUAUGAAUCU